GAUGAACGCUAGCGGGAGGCCUAACACAUGCAAGCCGAGCGGUAUGGUUCCUUCGGGGACCAGAGAGCGGCGUACGGGUGCGGAACACGUGUGCAACCUGCCUUUAUCUGGAGGAUAGCCUUUCGAAAGGAAGAUUAAUACUCCAUAAUAUAUUAAUUGGCAUCAAUUGAUAUUGAAAACUCCGGUGGCUAGAGAUGGGCACGCGCAAGAUUAGCUAGUUGGUGAGGUAACGGCUCACCAAGGCAAUGAUCUUUAGGGGGCAUGAGAGGGUGAUCCCCCAGGCUGGUACUGGGGCACGGAGCAGACGCCUACGGGAGGCAGCAGUGAGGAAUAUUGGUGAAUGGGUGCAAGCCUGAACCAGCCAGCCCGCGUGAAGAAUUAAGGUCCUAUGGAUUGUAAACUUCUUUUGUAUAGGGAUAAACCUACCCUCGUGAGGGUAGCUGAAGGUACUAUACGAAUAAGCACCGGCUAACUCCGUGCCAGCCGCCGCGGUAA
rnacentral:rRNA from 1 species